rnacentral:rRNA from 1 species
CAACUUUCAACAACGGAUCUCUUGGCUCUCGCAUCGAUGAAGAACGCAGCGAAAUGCGAUAAGUAAUGUGAAUUGCAGAAUUCAGUGAAUCAUCGAAUCUUUGAACGCAAAUUGCGCCUUUUGGUAUUCCGAAAGGCAUGCCUGUUUGAGUGUCAU